CAAAUGUAGUAGACAAGAUAAUUCUAUCCCUGUAGUAUAUUAAAUACUAAUGCAAUUAACGACAUCAACAUUAUGAGAUGAGUGUUAUGAAUGGCCAAGACUCAUGAGAAGUAAAAGAGGAGAAUCACUUCACUGGAGACCUGGCACCAGAAGACAGAACCCAUGAUAGGUCAGGGCUCAAGAUUGUUCUGAUUUGCAAUAUCAGAUGCCUGGAGACCUCUUCAGUGUCCAUCUACAAAACCUUUUGGGAAGAGUGGAAGGAACAUUCAGCAGACAGCAGUCACUGUAGAAGCCAAAUUCACCUCAGAAAGAGGGCAAGACAAGAUUUGCACAGAAAGACAGAAAGACAGAUAGAUUAGAAGAUUUUGAUGAAGUGUGAAGUCAGUCACCUAUGUAUGCUACGUCUUCAGUGCCAGGCCAUACAGAAAUACAUGCCCUUUCAUCAAAAAAGAAUCUCAAAAAAUCUUGAAUAGAGAAAUGUUAAUCUGAAGUAAUUUCUGGAAAUUAAAUGUCUA
rnacentral:lncRNA from 1 species